UACGGGGGGGAGCAAGCGUUGUUCGGAUUUACUGGGCGUAAAGGGCGCGUAGGCGGCCACCGCAAGUCGACUGUGAAAUCUCCGGGCUUAACCCGGAAAGGUCAGCCGAUACUGCGGGGCUAGAGUGCAGAAGGGGCAACUGGAAUUCUCGGUGUAGCGGUGAAAUGCGUAGAUAUCGAGAGGAACACCUGCGGCGAAGGCGGGUUGCUGGGCCGACACUGACGCUGAUGCGCGAAAGCGUGGGGAGCGAACAGG
rnacentral:rRNA from 1 species